rnacentral:tRNA from 1 species
GUCGCUUUGGCCGAGUGGUUAAGGCGUGUGCCUGCUAAGUACAUGGGGUUUCCCCGAAUCUCUCAGGCGACG